UUCGUGAAAUCCAGCGAUUUGGAAUGGAAUUUGCCCACGCAUGGACUCAUUUCACUGGACAUACGCCCACACGAUCGAUGCGAUGGAAACCCACUCGUCCAUCGUUGGACGAUUGGGAAAAUUGCACACGUUGAGAAGCUAUAGUAUGCAUGGUAUACAUUUCUUUUCAUUUCACAGUGUAAAUAUUAUUAUGUAUUUCAAAUUAUUCAGAGUUAUUCAUAUUUAGUUUUACAUCAUUAUUAACAUUUGAAUAUAAGUUAAAGUACGAAUAAAUUAAAACAAAAGCAUUGACCAUGGAUUCUCAUUUGACUGACGAGUAUAAACAAACGCGUAGGCGCCAUCUUCAAGUUGAAAUCGCAGAUCCCGUGAACAUUCAAAAUGUGGAAUUCUGAAGCAAUUUUCGCCCUCCUUGAAAAGGUUCGAAAGGAAGAAGUGCUUUGAUAUAUCAAGCAUCCAUUUUACCACAAAAAGAACAUGAAACGGACUCUCUUUGACAAAAUAUCUUCAGAACUGAUGUCGGAGUAUCCACAGCUUCUUGGACUGACUACGGGUGAUGUUAUGAACAAGUUCCAGUUUCUCCGGGGUCAGUAUCAGAAAAUACCACGUAAAAUCAAAAACACUCCGAGUGGCUCUGGGGCUCAAACUCCGCAGAAGUGAGAGCUUUUCAGCUCAUGUUCCUUUCUGCAGUCAGUGUAUGAUAACUACCCCACUGAGUCGAGUUUCAUACACCCAGAUGACUUGAAUACACAAAGUCAGGAAGUGGUGGUAUACGAGGAAGGAAUCGAGGAUCUUGCCAAUGAUUGUGAAAUUACAAUUUCACCAAUCACGACUUCAUCCAAAUCAACUCCUUCCCGUCUGACCUCUGGAUCAACUCCUUCCCCUGAGCCUGAUAUAACUGGAGACAUCAUGAUAACACCUAUUCCUUCUACCAGUUAUGCAGGAAACCCUCCAGUGAAAAAAAGGAGAAAGAGGAACAUGAGCAGUGAUCCUCUUGAUGAAAUGAUGGCAAAGGCUAUUGAUAAAAUGGAAAAUACAUGGGCUGAACAGUCAAGGCUGCCUGUCCGCUUUGACAUGGCUACUGAGGCUGUGAUGUCACUGAUGAAUCACCUUGCCUCUGAUGAGGACUUGAAGUUGGAGUUCUCUGUGGAAGUUAUUGAACUUGUGGCAAGAACUCUAAAAAAGUCUAAAGAAACGCGUAGGAACACUAAUAAUCAAAAUCUGCCAUAGAUGGUAGUCAUGUAAGAGUUAAACAAUUUGUAUAGCUGUCAUUUAGUAAUGGUUUGUAUAUAGUCAUGAAUUUAUUACUGUGAUUUCUUAUCUUGUCAGUAGAUUGUGUUUUUUUUCACAUAACAGUUAUAUAUUUUUAUAUAGUUUAUUUAUUCAGUAAGUUUAGGUUGUAAGAAUAUUAAUGUAA